rnacentral:rRNA from 1 species
UACGGGGGGGGCAAGCGUUGUUCGGAAUUACUGGGCGUAAAGGGCUCGUAGGUGGCCAACUAAGUCAGACGUGAAAUCCCUCGGCUUAGCCGGGGAACUGCGCCUGAUACUGGAUGGCUUGAGUUUGGGAGAGGGACGCGGAAUUCCAGGUGUAGCGGUGAAAUGCGUAGAUAUUGGGAGGAACACCAGUGGCGAAGGCGGCUCACUGGACUGGUACUGACGCUGAGGCGCGAAAGCGUGGGGAGCAAACGGG